rnacentral:rRNA from 1 species
CUUGACAUCCAGAGAACUUUCCAGAGAUGGAUUGGUGCCUUCGGGAACUCUGAGACAGGUGCUGCAUGGCUGUCGUCAGCUCGUGUUGUGAAAUGUUGGGUUAAGUCCCGCAACGAGCGCAACCCUUAUCCUUGUUUGCCAGCGAGUAAUGUCGGGAACUCCAGGGAGACUGCCGGUGAUAAACCGGAGGAAGGUGGGGACGACGUCAAGUCAUCAUGGCCCUUACGAGUAGGGCUACACACGUGCUACAAUGGCGCAUACAGAGGGCAGCCAACUUGCGAAAGUGAGCGAAUCCCAAAAAGUGCGUCGUAGUCCGGAUUGGAGUCUGCAACUCGACUCCAUGAAGUCGGAAUCGCUAGUAAUCGUGGAUCAGAAUGCCACGGUGAAUACGUUCCCGGGCCUUGUA